GGUUUUAACGAAAAGAGGAAAAAAAUAAAUGGAAAAAUGACAAAAAAGAAGAGAACCGGUGUUUAAUGUAGGAUUUUUAGAUACGUUAAGCACCCCUAUGUGUCACACUGGUACUGGACCUCCCAUUUAUCACUCUCUCCUCUCUCCUUCAAACAUCAUUUGUUUCUCUUUCUCUUCCUCUCUCGAUCUUCGUCGGGGGAUUUGAUCUGAAAACCACUUGAUUCUGAUCUCGAUUUUCGUUGGUGUUACGAUUGUUACAAAGGCGAAAGAGCCUGCUUGUUUCUCCUCUGUGAUUCCUGGGUGGUUCUCCGAGAUGAGUCCCAAGUGGCCAGAAACGUCGUCGUUUGCUCUCUCAUUUAAACGGCCCGUUUUAAAAACUCAGACCAACUGAUCGGGAACUAAUCAGAAGAGCAACAAUAACGAGAGCUGCACUGAUGAAGAAUCAAGAAGAAGCUCGUCUCCUCGAAUGCUUACCUAUCCAUCUCCAUCACCAACCUCUCUCGAUACAUAUGACCUUUACUCACCAACCCUUUUCUUUUGUCUUUCAAAAUGAUCGAUUUGCUUGCAGCUAUAAUUGAUUACACCUUUAUGUGUUGAUUUCAGUUUGAUUCAUUCAUGAAAAUAUUGUAAAGGUGUGAACUUUUAUUUAUUAGCACUCUGGUUCUAGUGUCAAACCUUAGACAGUGUGUACUGUAGUUGCAGCAAGUUCUUUGAGUGAGAGAUCUCUCUGUUUUAGAAUUUGCAAUCAUCAAUCUCUCUGUUUUAAUAAGUAUGUUUGGUUUGGUUUC